rnacentral:rRNA from 1 species
UACGUAGGGGGCAAGCGUUGUCCGGAUUUAUUGGGCGUAAAGAGCGUGUAGGCGGCUUCACAGGUCCGCUGUGAAAACUCGAGGCUCAACCUCGAGCUGUCGGUGGAAACCGUGUGGCUAGAGUCCGGAAGAGGAGAGUGGAAUUCCCGGUGUAGCGGUGAAAUGCGCAGAUAUCGGGAAGAACACCCGUGGCGAAGGCGGCUCUCUGGGACGGUACUGACGCUGAGACGCGAAAGCGUGGGUAGCAAACAGG